rnacentral:rRNA from 1 species
UACGGAGGAUGCAAGCGUUUAUCCGGAAUUAUUGGGCGUAAAGCGUCCGCAGGUGGUUAUCCAAGUCUGCUGUUAAAGCGCGAGGCUUAACUUCGUACAGGCAGUGGAAACUGGGUGACUGGAGUAUGGUAGGGGUAGCGGGAAUUCCCAGUGUAGCGGUGAAAUGCGUAGAUAUCUGGAGGAAUACCGGUGGCGAAGGCGGCAUCCUGGACCGGCAUUGACGCUGAUGAGCGAAAGCUAGGGGAGCAAACGGG